UCAAAUCAAGUACAUGGCCUACUUCAUUUGAUCACUGACAUAGCAAACAUAAUAUGGUCUAACAAAUUCCAUGGACAACCAGAAGAAAGUAAGGCCAACAACCAUAAUUUUUACAUAUAAAACCAAAGAUGGCAACAAGCCAAUUAUUUAUUUACCAAGAGUCCAAGAUCCUGCAAGCUGCAGCUGGAAACAGAGAAGGGUUACACAAACUGAUUGAGGUACUCAUCAACUGUAGUGUACUUGACAUCAGGAUAAAGCUGCGAGGCUUCAACUCCAAAAGAUGGUUCAAUCUUGAAGUUGGUUUGAACUCCCUUCACGAAAGCAGAGUGAUAAAUUGAUAAUAUCACUUUGUGUGGAGGUGCAGCUUCUGCAACAUUUUGGAGAAGACAGGAUCAAUGACAUUUACGGCAGAGAAUAUACGGCUCUCUUUAAUACAUUUAAAAAAGAGAGUUUUAACCAACCUUGAAUAUUCUUUAGGAGCUGCUCCUCUGAAACAUACUCCUUUUCGAGGGUUUUACCAAUCUUUCUCUCCCACAGAGACACAAGAUCAUUGAAUGAGUAAAUAUUACCGGGAGGCUGAAUGUAAAAGUUUUUGUUCAAGGUUCUCGGAUCAUCAACCGCUUUGAUAGUGUAGGUUCCAAUAUCAUCUUCCUUGUUAAAAACAGCUGAAAAUCAAACGACGAAACUAAGUUAGAUUCAUUUAACUGUUUUGCAAUGAAGUUAUUUAGGCUCUGUUUGAAAUUGUUGUGUGGCAACCAUGAUGUGGCGGUUCAGCAGCUAAAGUAUCUGGUAAUCACUUAAAACUCUAUCUUAAAAUCUAUAAUGACCACUUAAGAUUCAUUUCGUAUUAUGGUGCCAUUAAUGCUUUAAUCGUAAUAUUUUUUUAUCAAAGUAGUAAGAAUAUUACAAGUUUUUAAUUAAACAAGUGUUGUAUAAAAUCAACUUAACUUGAAAGCUAAGGAUAGAGGUGUUGAUCAAAACACUGCAGCUCUCCAACAACAGUACCAAGCAAGACCAUCCAUUGUACAACAGACAAUAACAUUAACACCGCAAUACAUACCAAACAAACAGAGCUUAAUUAAAUUAUGUUACCUUUUGGAUUUCCAUCGCCGAAGAUGACAACCUUAUCCCUAGGGGGGGCAGUGGCCCCAGGCUGCAACAAAUUAGGGAGGAAGUAGCCAUCAAAAAAAUAAGAUUCUACGUACGUGUACGGAAUGCCUUCUGCCUCAACGGCUCGGCGGAUGUUCGCCUUUACGUCAUACGUCGAUUUUGUUGGCUCCACGGCGCCAUGGACUCGAUCAACAUCAUUUCCAAAUUCCGAUGGGAAGAAUCUCUGAGUAAUAAAUAAUUUAUAAACAUCAACUAAUUUUAAUUGCUUUCAUGCCAUCGGUGUUUAUACUUAAUUAAUUAAUUAAAUUAUUUUGAGGCGCAAUUGCGCAUGUGACGGGUGUUUAUUAGCGGAACUGGGAGCUCUACUCUACAGCGAGCUCCACACGAAGAAUAAAUCACCACGUGUGCACGAGUUCACAAUCCUGAUCGGAAUCUAAGACAUUUACAUUAAUUAUGUCAUACCUUAACGUUACCGGCUUCUUUAAUGGCAGCAAUAAUCUUGACCUGAUCGGCUAUUAAAGUGUGACCAACUGUUGAUAUCACCACGUCCACUUGUUUUAUCGCCUUCACCAAACUCUCGUGAUUCAAAACAUCUCCCUGCAUAAUAAUAACACCACCCACAAAAAUUAAAUUAAAAAAAAAAAAACCAAGUCUAUCAAGUAGAGGCUACACCGCCACGUGUCAAAAUUUGGAAUUAAAAAAAUGAAAAAAAAAAUUGAUAACUCACGACAAGGAAAUUGACGCCGAGGUUUUUGAAGUGGUCGAGGAGCUGAGAUUUGGAAGGACCAGAGACUGUGGAUUCCCUCACGAGCACGAACGUCGGGUGGCCGGCUUUCACGCUAGCUUCCACGAUGAAUUUACCGAUAUACCCUGUCCCGCCGAUGGAUAGAAUCUUGCUUUUCGAUGCCAUUUCUGAAACUCGUUCAGUUCAAUUCCGGAGAGUUAGCUGGUAGCCGCACUUUUACGUUUGAUUAAAUGGACUAAAAUGCUCUUGAGGUCUAAGAGGGUUUUGAAAGUUUGUUUGUGGAUCAAAGUCCUAAUGCGUCCAGGUUCAUUUCUUGUUGGGUCGUAUAUUGUUACUGUGUAUAAGAAUAAUUUUUAUAUAAUUUUAAAAAAUUUUGAUUUUAAUUUAGGGUAAUUUUUAGGAUGACAAAAAGGUUUUAUCCGACCCUCGACUUGAUUGAUUCGAUCUUAAUUUUAAUGGUUUUGACUCGAAUUUGAAAGGCUAAACGUUGGGUUAGGGCUUAAGGAAUCAGGACCUAAUUACAUUUGGGUUAGGGUUAAAGUUUUACCAAAAUGUUUUAACUCGACUCUUGAUCUUUAAAUUAAUUUUUAAAAUAAAAAUAUUAUUAAACACACAUACACAUAGAUGGUCACAACUACACUUUAGGGAUAUUUAUCUCUAUUUCAUAUUAAUUUUGUUAUUUUGUAUUUGAUUUAUUUACCUAUUGCUUGGUUAAUAUAUUAAUUUUGUUAGAUUGUUAAAUGUUCUAUUGUUGUUAAGUUAAAUAAAAAAUAAUUUAUUAAAUUCCUUACAAACAAAUCCAACAAAAAAAAGGAACAAUAAUAAUAAUAAUAUUACUAAAGAAUGAAGAAUAGGAGUCAUAUUCUUAAAAAAAAUAAAAAAAAAAAUAAAAAAAUUAUUAAAGCCAGGUUGUUCUUUAGUUUGAAGGGUCAAGCUUUUUAGUAUUAGAGUCCUUCAUUUUAAUCAUAGGGUUGGGCUUAGGGGUGGUAAUAUGGGUCAGGAUUCGUUUAUUCGAUUCGAUUCGAUGCAAAUUAAAUGGGUUUGAGUUUGAAAAAAUUGAUUCGUUUAAUAAAUGGGUGAAUUCGAUUCGAUUCGUUAAUUAAACGAAUAGAAUGCAGGUUUGAAAAUUUUGAUUCGUUUAUUCGUUUAAUAAAUCGGUCAUAAACGAAUCGAAUACGGGUCGAUUCGUUUAUUAUUUGUUUAAUUAAAUUACUUUUUUAUCCUUAAAUUUAUUUGAAAGCUUUUUAAAAUUUGAAGGUUUUCAUCCCCAGCACCACUUCCCACCGCGCUAACUACCCACCAUCACGGUACACCAUUGAAAUUUUGCCUUUUAUUGCUGUUUUAUUGCCGUUUUGCUGUUGUUUUGUUGCUGUUUUGCUGUUGUUUUAUUACUGUUUUGCUGUUAUUUUGUUGCUGAUUUACUACUAUUUUACUGUCGUUUUAUUGUUGUUUCGCUGCUGUUUUACUGCUGUUGUUUGGCUGCUGUUUCGCUGCCAUUUUUUUUUGUUAUUUUUCCACUGUUUUGUUGUUGUUUUAUUCCUAUUUUACUGAUAUUUUGUUGUUGUUUUACUACUAUUUUGCUGCUAUUUUGUUGCUGUUUUACUGUUGUUUUGUUGUUGUUUGGCGGUUGAGUUCUUGAUCAAUUUCAAAGUGUAUUGAAGCCAGAGACAGUUCAAGCAAUUAUUACUACUAGAGAUUGGAAGUUUGGAGAGAUUGGUAAAACUUGCUCAUAAAAUUUAUUUACUUUUCUUUUAUAAUAUUAUGUGCAAUUGUUUCUAAUUAAGAUUUAUUUUUAUAAAAUUAUUGUAGAAAAUUUGGAUGUCACUGUGGACCAACUUACUCAAAACAUUAUGAACAUGAGCACUAAUUGUGCUCCAUCUGCAGAGAGUGCCAAUGAUCCAAAUGACAGUGUGUGAGUGUGGUAGAUAAAGUUUUUAUCUUAUUUAAUUAUUAUUUCCUUGAAAAUGCUACAAAUUUGCUAUAUAUUUGAUUUUUGAAAUUUUACAAUGACUAUUAUCAAUAUUGCAGCAUGUUAAUAACAUUUUAUUUACUUUUUGGUGUAGGAUUUUUGUUUUCAAGGCGACAAAGACAAAUGAAGAGAAUUAAAGAAAUUACAUUUCUUUAUAAUUUGAAUUUGAAUUAUUGUUAUUUGUAAUAUUAAGGAUUUGUAAUUUAGUAUUUGGAUGACUGUAAAAUAUGAUUUGAAUUAUUUGUAUUUUGUUGUGGGAUAUUAAAUUUGUGUUUUUUUUGCUUAAUUUUGUUUAUUAAUUAUAUUUUUCUAAACGAAUCCUGAUUCGAUUCGAUUCGUUAUGGAUUCGUAAAGGAUAAGCGAAUAAUAAACGAAUCCGGAUUCGAUUCGAUUCGUUUAUCAAUUCUAUUAAACGAAUUAAACGAAUCGAACCGAAUAUUUGUUUAAUAACCGAAUCGAAUCUGAAUCCUGAAAUUUCAAUUCGUUUAAUAAACGAAUCGAAUCCGAAUCCAUAGAAUUUUGACCCAAUUCGUUUACGAUUCGAUUCAAAUUCGAUUCGUUUAUUCGUUUUGCCACCCCUAGUUGGGCUAGAGCUUGGCAUGGCCCAAACACGACCUAGUCGAUUAUCAAGCCUAAUAAUUAUAAAUAAGAAUAAACUCUAUAUUAUGAUAAAUUAUAAUUUUUUUAAAUCCGGUUUUAAGAAAGUUACCUCUAAUAGUAAUAAUUAUCGGUAUAUUGUAAAAAAUAUAUCCCUUAUUAUGUUAAAGGUUUAAGAUGAAGUAAAAUAUUUUUCUAAAAUUAUUUUGUACAAUCAUUUAUUUUUUAGACUUUCAAGAUGAUUUUACAUAAUUCCAGCACUAUAAAGAUAUAUGUACUAGUUUUUUUCAAACUAUGCCUAUCUUUUUCAUCAUUGUUAGUACAUUGAAUUUGACAUGCUGUAUUAAUUAGUUAUUAAUAUAGUGCAUAUUUUAUCGCUAUAUCACUUGCACAAAAAAUAAUUAAGUUAAAAUAAUAAUUUUUGUAACUACACCUCUAUUAAAUAUUAAACUCUCACAGUAAUAAAAUUAAUUUAGUGUUACCGUUAUGAUUAUAAAUAAGUUUUACGGUAGAGUAAGAUGAUGUAAGCGUAAUUUUGGCUUGCUUUUGGUUCACCAUAAGAAACAAUAUUAUAAGUGUAAUACCGCCAAGUUCAUUCUUUUCAAUUUUUAUAGUUGCAGAAUUUCAAUUCAGUUAAAAAUAUUAUAAAAUGAGUCAUACCAUUUUAAAUCUUAUGAAACAUAUGUUGUUAUUCAAAAUUAAAGAAUUACAAUAUGUGAAACAAUUGAGUUAUGAUGAGCGACAACUCAUAAAUUUACUAUAUGUGAUAUUAAAUUUACUAUAUGUGAUAUUAUUUGAAACAUAGCCUAAUUCUUAUAAAAUUAUUUAUUAUAUAUCUUUCAGUUUGAUUUUUAGAGUUUUCUCACCAUAAAGUUGUUUCCUAGAAUUUCUCUUCCAUUAAGUAAAUUUCACAUGACAAAUGUUUAUGAAUUACUUUUAAUUUUUCUGUGUUUGUGACUUUAUAAUUAUCUUUAGAUCAACCGCAUGGUGACUUUAUAAUUAUUUUUAGAUCAAGCACAUGAGACUACUUUGUUUAAUCACUAGUGUACUGACAUAGUGGACAAAAUAUGGUGCUACAAAUUCCAUAGAAAACCAAAAGAAGGUAAGGCCAACAACCAUAAUGUUUACAGAUACAGGGUGCGUUUGGGAUUGAAGUGCUGUAGCUUUUAAGCUAUAGCUGCUGUGGAAAAAAAGCUAUAAGUAUUAAAUAAAAGUUAGUAAUAUAUAGUAAAUAUAAAUUUUAAAUAAUAAUUUUGAUGAAAUUAUUAAAGAUAUAAUAGAUUUUUCAUUAUACAAGUAAAAAAUUAUAUCAACAUAGCUUAAAAGCUACAGUAGUUAGUGUUUACCAGACACUUUAGUGCUGUAGCUUUUAAGCUACAGCUGCCCAACCUCAAUCCCAAACGCACCCACAAACCAAAGAUGGCAACAAGCCAAUUAUUUAUUUCCCAAUAUCCUGCAAGCUACAACUCAACAGAGAAGGGUUACGCAAACUGACUGAGGUACUCAUCGAUUGUAGUGUACUUGACAUCAGGAUAAAAGAAAAAUGGCUGGGUAGGACAAUAUUAGUUGCAAUUUUGAUUUAUUAGUUUUGUCCAAUACAAAAGUGUGGUCUAAGGCAAGUAUCUCAUUCUUUUAUAAACUUGAAUGAUCGAUUUAGGGUAAAAAAGAUCUUGCUGCUGUUGAAUAUGAUGAUGAUGAUGAGAAUGCUACUGCAGAGGGCUGUGAAGAUGAGAGACCCGAUAGAGACACUCAAGAGCAAUUGUCCAGUGACAGUGACUCUGAUAAAGAAUGCAGAAAGUAAUUCUUUUCUACCUAUAUCUUCUGUCGCAUUAUCUUGAAAAAUAUAUCUAUCAACUUAUGCCUUUGUGAUCUUAUGACAUUUUUUUGGUGUUAGGUAUGAUGAACAAUUGGAGGAGUUUCUUGAUCAAGCUUACGAAAACUACGUGGCCAUAAAAGGAGGAAGCACGAAAACGUGCGAAAAAUGCCUAUGCCCCAGAGGACCAACUCUCAAAGGUAUGCAGUCUUUGUGGUCAAAUUGUGUGUGCGCGCGCGCGCGUGUGCAUGUUUGCAAUCAAGCACCUGUUUUUCGCCUAUGCUUUCUGCAAUUAGGCUGUGUUAUAAAAUUUCAAUUUCCCUUGGGGCUUAUGUGGCCUCUCUUUUUCUCACUUUGUCAUGAUUCUUGUUGCCUUCACAUUGUAAUCUUUCUUCUUCUUCUUUGUAAAGCUUAAUUCAUUAUAGCUCUAAUGGAUGGUGAUUUAUUAGGAUUACACUUUCUUUUCUCGGUUUAGAAUUAUAAUAAAAUCUCUCUGUAGUGAUACAUUUUAUAAGAACAACGUCCAAUAGUCACAAAAAAUCUUAUUCCUGCUUUAAGCCAAUUAUAAAUAAGAACAAACUUCACAUUGUAAUAAGUUAACAACUUUUAUAGAGCAUAUCUUAAGGAACACGCAUCCACACAGUAUUACUAAUAUGUAUAUUGCGCAAAAAAAAAAAAUUGCUAUGUUACAUGAAAGAUUUAAGAUGAAAUAUAAUAUUUUUCUGAAAUUAUUUUGGAUAAUAAUUUAUUCUUUAGAUUUUCAAUAAGAAGACUUUGCAUGUUCCCAAUACUACACAGAUGAUAGAUAUAAGUACUAGUUUUUUAAAUUAUAUGUUUACCUCUUUUAUCAAUGUCAAUGCAUUAGAUUUGACAUGCUUCAUUAAUUAAUUAUCAAAGUAGCACAGCUAAUCAAUAGAUUUGUCACUGAAUUUCCAUUAAGUUUAUAACAUCUUCAUAUUAAUAAAAUUAGUUUAAUCCCAACAAUAUGACUAUAGAGAGGUUUUACUGUAUAUGUAAUGUUAAGCAUUUUGUUUUGGCUGCGCAGGGUGAUGAGGAUGAAAGCACUAUGCAUACUAGUUAUGAUUCAGACAAAGAUCAGGGUAAUCUAGAUGGAAAUCCUCUCACGGUACCACUUGAUGAUGGCAUAGGGCCAACACAAGAGGAAAUUACAAAUAAAUUAGGGUUGGCAAUUUAAGGGCCUGGGCCGGGCUUUGCCAAGCCCAAGACCAAGCCCAUAUAAUGUUUAAAAAGUCCAGGCCCUCUUAAAGCCAAUUCAAAUUGGGCGGGCUUUGGGGGAGCCGGGCCUUGACGGGCCUGGGCCGGGCCUGGGCUUUUACGAUUUUUUUUAAAAAAAUUAAAUAAAAUACGGUACAGCAGAUAAUACUACAAUAGGCUAAAAACUUAAGCAUAAUUCUCUAAUACAUGAUUAGCCAACAUAAAAUAUAAAAAUACUAACAUCACAAGUACCAUACACAACAUUAAUCAACUACUAAUAUAAAAAAAAAAAAAACUAAUCUAAUAUUUACGGGCCAUCUUCGUCCUCAUCCUUCAAUUCCUCGACUCCACAGAUGGAUUUGAUGGAAAAUUAGAAGAUUCAGAAACAUUUUCCAUUAUAAACCUAUACAAAAUUAAAGAAGAUAAAAUAUUAAAUUAAUUAAGCUAAGUGUAAAUGCAGUAAACGAAUACUGCAUUUACAAGCACAACAGUGAAAGAACUCAAUGCACGGGACUUGUCAACUUUAGAAAAAUAGAAAUCUAGCUCACUGGAAUCUGUUGCUGCUGCAGCUGGAAUCUGUUGCUGCUGCAGUGCUGCUGGAAUCUGUUGCUGCUGCAGUGAUGCUGGAAUCUGUUACUGCUGCUGCUGCUGGAAUCUGUUACUGCUGCUGCUGCUGGAAUCUGUUGAUGUUGCUGCUGGAAUCUGUUGCUGCUGCUGCUGGAAUCUGUUACUGCUGCUGCUGCUGGAAUCUGUUGAUGUUGCUGCUGGAAUCUGUUGCUGCUGCUGCUGGAAUCUGUUACUGCUGCUGCUGCUGGAAUCUGUUGAUGUUGCUGCUGGAAUCUGUUGCUGCUGCUGCUGGAAUCUGUUACUGCUGCUGCUGCUGGAAUCUGUUGCUGUUGCUGCUGGAAUCUGUUGCUGCUGCUGCUGGGAUUUGUUUCUGCUGCUGCUGGACGGUGGGUCGCCGAUGGCUGGUGCUGGCUCUGGCUCGACGAUGCUGGAAUCUGGAGAUGCUCGCUGCUGUUGGCUGCCGGUGGCGAGAACAGUGAGACGUCGGCACGAUGACGCCGUGACAGUGAGUGAUAACUGAGAGGUGAGUGAGAAGUGAGGGAACGAGGGAUUUACGAUUUAGGGAUUUUGUCAGUUCAAUAUUAUAAUUUGUUUUGUUAUGUUAUAAUUGUUUUGUCAAUUCAAUUAAUAUUACCGAUUUAGGGAUUUACCAACUCAUACUUAGAGACUCACGGGAUUGAAGGAUUUUUAAUUAUUUUGUUUUAAGUUUUUUUUUUUCAAUUUUUGAUAUAUUAAUAUAUUAUAUAUUUUUUUAAAAUAUAUAUAUUAUUUAUUGAAAAGCCUUGGCUUAAGUCCGAGCUUUUCAUUCAGGCCCUUGACUAAGCCCAUAACAUAUGGGCUUAGUCAAUUAUAAGCCCUUACCCAUAAUUUCAAGCCGCGGGCCUGGGCCGGGCCGACGCGGGCCUGGCCCGGCCCGGGCUUUUCUGCCAACCCUAAAAUAAAUGGUUUGGUUAGGAAAUUUUUGCAGAAGCUGUACAUAAUGGAGAUUUGGGGAAACUUGUGAAGAAAGCACACUAUCCAGAGUUACAAAAAAGAAGCAAAUCAGCUGUCAAUGCCAAGUCAGCAGCUAAGUCAACAUGUUCGAUUAUGCAACGAUGAUGGAUUCACGUGCUCCUUAUGUGUGAAACUAAUUAGUUUUACUUUGGAUCAAAUCUAUUGAUUAGCUGUACUGUAAAUUAGCUAGAAACAAUUUAGAAACUUGUAUAUAUAUAGUAUGUUAACCUUUCGUAUGCUCAAUAGGAAACAUUUAGAAUUUCCAGAGAAUUUUCCUCUAUUUUCUCAGCUAUUAAACAACAACUAUAACUCAACUUCCAAUAAUUUAUUCAUGGUAUCUGAGCCAAAAUGGCAAGCUCAAGCAAUGUAAGCACAAAUUCAAUUGCAAUCUCUACAAAUCAAUCAAUUCAAACAACAUUCUGUUUCAUCACUCCAAUCACAUUCGAUUGAUCAAAUUACAUGCUUUGGCAAAAUCAAGUUCUAGCUUUUAUAAGAGGAAACCGAAGGAUACAUAACUAGAGAAAAUGAAGCACCAAAUCAAUUCAUUGAUUCAUCAGCUAUGCUAGAGCAGUUGCUGCAUCUACUUAACAGAUUGAAAAUCCUGAGUUCAUUGUUUGGAGAUCUCAAGAUCACACAUUACUUAGCUAGUUACUCAGCUCUAUCACUUAAGGUAUUCUCGGUCUUGUUCAUUCUUAUAACACCUUACUUGAUGUAUGAAAAACAUUACAGAAAAAGUUUAGGCAACAUUAUGAGGGUAGGAUUCUUCAACUGAGAUAUGAGAUGAAUGCUUUGAGAAAAAAAGUCACUAAGCAUAGAAGAGUAUUGCUUAAAGAUUAAAAAAAUAGCAGAUAAAUUGACAUGUGCUGGUAGUCCUAUUUCUGAUAAAGAUAUGUUUAACAAAUUCUCAAUAGUUUUGGAGCUAGCUAUCUGCAUUUAUCUACUUUUAUUACUGCUAGCAAGUUAUAUUAUGAUGGUGCAUAUGCUCUAUUGCUUACUCAAGAGGCAAGACUUGAACAAAGUCAUAAUGAAAAACACAUAUUCAAUGCAAAUUGUGCUAACUUUGCUAACCAUAAUAACUAUGGCAUAAUUAAUUACUAUCAUGCACAAAUAGGAGGCAAUACUAAAAGAGGUGGAUAUGCCGGAGGAUUUUAAGGACAUUACAGUGGAAAUAUAGGUGGAAGGAGUAAUUUUAGUGCUAGAAGAGGCAUGUUUUUCAAUUCUCAUCCCAGAGGGAUUCCCUUUUGGUACUAGCCAUUUUGGAAGUAGUCAUGUCAGAAGUCAAUUGAUUGGGAGUAACAUGUUGGCCUAAGCGUUUGUACGAACUUGAGUUUUGAUAAUAACAAACCACGUGUUAAGGAUAAAAGGAUAAAAUGAUAUAUAUAUAUAUAUAUAUAUAUAUGUGUGUGUGUGUGUGUGUGUGUGUGUGUGUGUGUGUGUGUGUGUGUGUGUGUGUGUGUGUGUGUGUGUGUGUGUGUGUGUGUGUGUGUGUGUGUGUGUGUGUGUGUGUGUGUGUGUGUGUGUGUGUGUGUGUGUGUGUGUGUGUGUGUGUGUGUGUGUGUGUGUGUGUGUGUGUGUGUGUGUGUGUGUGUGUGUGUGUGUGUGUGUGUGUGUGUGUGUGUGUGUGUGUGUGUGUGUGUGUGUGUGUGUGUGUGUGUGUGUGUGUGUGUGUGUGUGUGUGUGUGUGUGUGUGUGUGUGUGUGUGUGUGUGUGUGUGUGUGUGUGUGUGUGUGUGUGUGUGUGUGUGUGUGUGUGUGUGUGUGUGUGUGCGUGUGAGAUCAAGUUCAAGGCACUCAAAUAGACAAAGGUAAAAAGCUCACUAAGUCAAGAACAAGCAUUAGAGGUACAAGCUUAGGUGAUUUCUCUUGUUACAUUUGUUGUAAAGCUAGUAUGACUAAAUAUAUGCAUGCUUAAGCAUUUAAAAGCUCAAGUCAUUUUUCAUAAAUCUUAAUGAAAAAAAUGAUUUUAUGAAAUUGGUUAUUUUGAAGUUAAUGCUCUAAAUUUAAAAAGUUUUGAGAAUUUUGAAAUCAACAAGUAUUGUUUUAAAAUUAUAGAAAUGAACCUAUUUGAAAUAUUUUAUAUAUUUUUGGGUUAUAGUAUAAUUUCAUAAAGUUUUGGAAAUAAAAAGUAUUGUUUUGAAACUCUGGAAAUGGACCUAUUUGUAAAUUAUUAUGAAGAUUUGGGCUACAGUAUAAUUAUAGAAAGCAUGGCAAAAAUAUAAUUUUAAAAAAUAGUUUCAAUGUAGCAGUUAAUGUAGCAAAUGGCUAACCGACAUCAAAUGGAUUUGGAAACUAACGACGAUCUGACAUUUUGAAAACGGUAAGCCAACUAUUUUCUUGCAAUGUUACUAGAAACUAACAACAAUUCGAUGUCUCGAAAAUGGUGAUCCGAAAAUUUAAAUUUUCACCUAACGGUAACUUGAUCAAGUCAAAACAGCAGUUCGAUAAGUAUUAACGAUGAUCCGACCUUGUGCAGAAAGUCAAUAACGGCUAGUUUUCAGCUCUAACUAUCAAAAGGAUUAAUCAUAUUCAAUCAAUAACGAAUUCAAAAAUUGGCAUUGAGCUUACUUUUGCAUGUUUAAUCUGUCUUGAGCUUAAAUUUUUUGAUUCUUUCAUUGAAACACACUCUAGGCUUUUAGUUGUAAACACAUAUAUCGUGUGAGUGGAAAUUUUGUGUAACUUUUUUUCAAUAUCACAAUUAAGUGGUUGUAAGUGUGAGAAACACUUGGUUAAGAGGUUUGAGAGAACCUCUGGAUGUAAAGGUCCAUGGAAACCUUAGAAAUCAAUUGUAAGCAUCUUGAAGCCUUAGGGUUGUAAUGCUUGGAUAGUGAAAUCUUCAAGCAUAGUGAGCUUGGAGGCGUCAACGUAGGCAGGUUUUGCUGAACCACGUAAAAAUCUCAUGUUUGCUCUCUUCUCCCUCAUCUCUUUACUUUAUUGAUUGUUAAAAUUAUUGUUAUUGAAUCUAUUAAGACAUUAAUUGAAAUUUUUGUGUGGUUAUAACUUAUAAUUGCUUAAAUUUUUAAAAACCCAAUUCACCCCACUUUUUGGGUUGUACACUUAGAAUUUCAUAACAAACCUAUGCAUUUUAGGAGAAGUCAAUAUAGUAUUGGUUCAUGAAUUUUUACAAAAGAUUGCACAACACCUAGCAUAAAACUGUGUGUUUUAAAAAAGCAAAAUUGUAAAAUAUUCAUAAGAUUUUAAAGAUUAAUCAUUUACAUCCUUACUUGGAUCUUAGGAUUGAAAAUUGUCUGCAAAAACGGUAUCAGAGCCAGAUUUUUGGUUCAAAAUAUAAAAAUGGAAGAAACAAUUGUUUAUUUUAUUAAUAAUAGGGGAUAUAAUCUAAUGGUAGAUAGUAAUACUAUAAAGGAUAACAUAACUAAACAUAAACAAUAUUAUUAUUCAAAACUUGAGAUAUUAGAUGAUAAACAAUUAGAACAAUUUUAUUUAUCUAGAGCUCAUGAAUUUAGAAUUGGAGAACUCAAAAUAAUAAAGAAUAGAAAUUUAAACAUCGAUCCUAUUCUCCUAUUUAGAAUUAGGAGAGAGGUGUAUAGAAAUAAUUUUUCAUAGAAAACUACAAAAGGAUUGAAAUACAAAAGAUAAAUAACAAUAUGGAAGAAUUACUCAUGGUAAUUCAAGAAAAAAAAUAAAACCUUACAAGACACCAUAAUUUACUACAACGAAAAGAAAGAUAAAGAAAUGAUAGCAAUAUCUAGACAAUAUUUAACAAAAAACGAAGAUAAAAAAUUAAUAAGUUUAAGGAUGCUAAGUGAAAAUGUAGACAAUGGAUUAAAAGAAUUAUACAAUCCAGAAAUAUCCAAUGAAGAAUCUAAAUCCGAAGAGGAAGAGGAUGUACUCAUUAACUUAUGAGAUAUUGAAAAUAGAAUAGAACAAUUAAAAAUGAAUGAAUCAAAACCAACGGUUUUUUAACAAGGAGAAUCUAGUAAUAGAGCUUCCUAUACUAGAGAAGAAAUACUAGCUCAUGAAAGAUCACAACAUCAAUAUUUUAGGGUUAACAAGCCUAAAAAAAUUAUAAAACUCCAGGAAAAUAUAGAGAGAGACCAAUCAACCAUGAUGGAGUAUGGUUAGAUUUAGACUAUGUCAAAGAUAGAGAUAAAACGAUUAUCGCUUGGGUUAAAUCUAUGAAAACGGCAUUUGUAUUUAACAAAAUAGAUAUGAAUAAUAGUAUAGAAUUCCUUGAAACUUCAUUUGUAGGAAUAGUGUCACAUUCGUUUAUGGGACUAAACGAUAAUAACAAAAAUAAAAUAUUGUAUGGAGAAAAUAAUAAUCAAAAUGAAAGCUUGGAUCAAGUUUUAAAUAGAUUUGAAAAUGAAAUAAGAAAAGAAUUCCUAGGAGAAGAUUGAGAAACUGGUUUUCAAUAAGAAAUAAAGUGAAAAAAAGAUGGAAAAUGUAAUAAAACUAACAAGGCUUGAAAUAUGUAAUAUAUGUUAUUUAGAAGAAUACACAUGUAGCUUUGAAGAAUUAUAUUAUAAAUGUGAAUUAGAUGAAAGUAGCAUAUGCUAUUACUAAGAUCUAUAUUUUAUAAGGAUACCAGACCCAUGGGAGAAAAGGAUUAUGCUAGAAUAUAACAACAAAUAUGAAGAUACAACAGAGACUGAUACCUUAGGAAAUAAGAUUAGGUUUGCUCGAAAUAGAAUGAGUGAAUGGUGUGCUGAAAUAAGAGAUAACAGACUUAUGAAAAGGCUAAAUCAAGGAUUGUUUUGCUCUAAGUUAGAAGAUCCACCAAGAUUUGGAUGUUCAGAUAAAACUUAUAAAUAUAGGAAGAAAUUCAAAAAGAAGAGAUUCUUUAAAGGCAACAAGAAAUAUUACAAGAAAAAUAAAUAUAAGAAUAAAUUCUACAAGAAAAAUGAAGGUAUUAGUGAAAGUGAUAGCAUAUAUUAUCUUUCUGAAGAAACUUUAAGUAGCUCAGAUUCAAAAUCAUAUUUGGAAUUAGUAUAGAAGAAUUAGAUAAUAAGCAUUUAUAUCAAGAUGAAGAAUUAGAAGAACAAGGUUCUUUUAACAAAGAAUUAAUCUUUGAUAAAAAAAAAAAACAAUACCUCAAGAUUAACAAAAAAAUGAUUAGAAUCAUCCAUGACUUCAGUCAAUAAGUUAGCUCUAGGAAUUGCCACCAUGAUUAAAAGAAAAAAUGUUAUGUAUUUCAGUGCUACUGUGUGAGAAGAACAUAUUGAAAUUAGGUAUGCUAAGGGAAAUACAAAUAUACCAUUAUUAUUAAAGACUGAUAUAGAAGAUAAAAUCAGUAAGAUAAAAUCUAGCAAUAGACCCAAAAUUGGAUAUGAUCAUAUUGGAGGAAUUCAGUUUAUGAUAAAAGCUCAUUUUCGGGAAGGAAUAGAUAGUCCAAUAAUUUUAGCAGUACUGGAUAAUAGAAUACAAGAUCGAAAACAUGCAGUCCCUAGAAUAAUACAAGGAAACUUGAGUUAUAAAAAAUUGAUAUUUAAGAUAUAUCCUAAAUAUUCUAUAAGUCUUAGGGAUAGAAAUAUAAAUAAAACAUUAACCUUAUGUCAUGAUUUUAAAUACUUUGAUAUAAUGCAUGAGGGGUCUUAUCCAUAUAGCAUAACGUAUGCCAUAAAAUAUGCAUUAACAAAUUCAGCAAAUAGUGAAAUGUUUGCUAAUAAAUAUUUUAUUGAAAUAGAUAAAUUAUUUAGUAAAGUUGGAAAUAUAAAAUAUCCUGAAAUCCUGAGAGAAAUAGAUUUAUCAAAAGGAUGGAAAAUGAAUCUAAGUAGUCAACCUACUCUGAUUAAAGGAAAUACUACCAAAUCUAUAGAAUAUACUCCAGAAGGAAGAAUCAUUAUAAGACAUAAAAGAUCAUUCUCUAUACCCAAAAGAGAACCAAAAUUCAGAGGAACCCAAAGUUUUACUAGAUGUAGUCAUCUUGUGACACCACCAUCACAUGAAAUAUUAGCCACAAUUAGAAAAAAUAAUCAAAAUCUAAAAAUUAAGAUUGACUAUAAUAAUGGAAAAUCAUGGCACGAGACUUUUGCUAUCCUUGAUACAUGAGCUGCAAAAUCUUAUGUAGAUGCUAAAAUGAUUAAAUAUUUAGAAAGAAAAAUUCUAAUUGAACCUCAUACUUAUGUAGGAUUUAAUAGAGAAAGAAAGACAUUAAGAAAAUAUUGUAAAAUACCAUUAAAAAUAAAAGGAACAAAAUUCAUCUUUCCUUUUUUCAUAGAACCAUAUUAUGAAACAGAAAUAAAUCCUUUAUUAUUAGGGAUGAACUUUCUUCAUAAUUUCUCUCCUUAUUGUAUAGGAGAUAGAGAAAUGAGUAUAACAAUUGAAGGAAUUAAGCAAACCAUAUUAAGAUAUGUCUAAUCCUUUUAUAAUUUAUAUAAAAGUGAUUAUACAAUAUUAUAAACAUAAACUGGAAUGGUUUCAUGCUUUAAUCGAUACUGGUUUAGGAGUUAGUUUUGCCAGUUCUAGGAUUUAUCCAAAACCAUAUUGGAAAGAUUAUAAGCCUUUAAAAGGAUAAGGAACAAAUGAUGAACAGAUCACCUUAGGGACUUGUAGGAUUAAGACUUUAAUCCAAAUCGAAGAUUACAUCUUAAGUAUCCCUAUAUUCUGGUCUUAUGAUCAUAUGGGAACAUAUAUACUUUUAGGAGUUAAUUUCCUUCGUCAAUUCAUUUAUAUAAUGACUAACGAAGCCAUUACUCUCAACACCAUGUAAUCAUUCCAUUACUACCCUAAGAAUUUAUAACCUUGUUAGGCGCACAACUCAAAAAUUACAUUUUCGACACAGUCAGCGUGUUGAUUACACUAUAAAAAUCAUUCAAAUCAUGUCAGACUAUGAAAAAAUUUUAGAAAAACUUGAUAAAAAUUUUGGUGAAAACCCAAUUCAAUUAUGAGAAAUUGAUUAAACAUAUGCUAAGAUCGAAUUAAAAGAUCCAAAUGUUAUCAUAAGAGUUAAGCCUAUGAGAGAUGAGCAAGAACAUGGACAAGAAUUUGAUAAAAAAAAUUGAAGAGUUAUUAGAACUUAAGAUUAUUUGAAAAUCUAAAAGUCCUCAUAGUAGUCCAGCCUUUAUGGUUAGAAAUCAUGUAGAAAUUAAAUGAGGAAAAGCUCGCAUGGUUAUUAACUACAAAGAAUUAAAUAAAUAUACCAAAUUCGAUGGAUAUUUUUUACCUUAUAAAGAUACAUUAAUUAUCUCUGUGACCGAUAAAAAGACAUUUAGCAAGUUUGAUUGCAAAUCUGGAUUUUGACAUAUCAAACUUAAAGUAGAAAGUAUACCACUUACUGCCUUUAGUACACCUCAAGGAUAGUAUGAAUGGAUUGUAAUGCCUUUUGGAUUGAAAAAUGCACCAAAAAUAUUUGAAAGAAGGAUGGAUCAAAUCUUCAAAGAAUUUCAUGAAUUCUACAUUGUUUAUUUAGAUGAUAUUUUUAUAUUUUCAGAUAAUAAGAUAUAUCAUAUUAAUCAUCUCGUUUCUUUUGCAGAGAAAUGCAAGAAACAUGGAAUAUUACUCUCUAAAAAGAAAGCUGAAAUAAUGAAACUCAGGAUAGAAUUUCUAGGGUUAAUAAUAGAUGAAACAGGAAUUGAGAUGCAACCUCAUAUUUUUGGAAAAUAUAUCUAUUCCCAAAUAAAUUAGAAUCUAAACAACAAAUUCAAAUAUUUUUAGGAUAUCUUAAUUAUGCUGAAGGUUUCAUAGAAAACUUAGCUAAAGAAAGACAAUAUUUACAAGGAUUAUUAAAAAAGAAUAAUACUAAAUCAUGGAAAGAUCUCCACACCAAAGUAGUAAAAAAAUCGAAAGAAAAAUGUAAAAAUCUUCUAAGAUUAGGAUUCCCUACUUCUAGUGAUAAUUUAAUUCUUGAGACCGAUGCUUCAGAUAAUUAAUGGGGUGUAGUCUUAAAAACAUAUCAAGAAAAGAUUUGUAGAUAUGCCACCGGAACAUUCAAACCCGCAUAGAAGAAUUAUCAUAGUAAUGAAAAUGAACUGUUAACUAUUAAAAAUGGAAUAGCUAAAUUUACUUUUUUUUUUUUUACCAAAGAAAUUCAAGGUAAGAUCUGAUAACACUCAAGUUAAAGGAUUUAUAUUUAAUAAAUUGCCUAAUCUCCCUCAAUAUAAAAGAUUAAUUAAAUGGCAACGGUUUUUUUUGCUGAAUAUGAUUUUGAAAUUGAAUAUAUUAAAGGAUCUAACAAUUCUAUUGCAAAUUUUCUUAGCCGAGAAUACAAUGGAGAAGGGUCUUUCCAAAAUAAUUAAGGGCAUAAUAAUGUGCUCUGAAGGUCAAGAAUUGCUUCUCAAAGGCAAUGGUAUAAUUUAUAAUGGGCUUGCCAUGAUAGAUGAUGCCCAUGAAGAAUUGAGCAAACUUUGCCCAUAGAAAAGUUCGCAAAAUCAUCCAGAAGUCCAAAUUUCAUAACAAUAUAUUAGUAAUAUGCUAAAAAAGGUCCAUUUUAAGGAUCAAACUAAGGGUCAGAUUGCCCAGAGUUCUUCACAGAACUCAAAGGUCACACAUCUAGAGAAAUUUCUCACAAUCAAUGAUCUCAAAGAAUAAUAUAUGAAGAAAGAAGAAUCUCAAAGGUCUUCAGUGAGCUUAAGGCCCCAAUAUAAUAAAAGCGGACAGUCUGUUCCUAUGGUUAAAAAUCCAUUAGGAAGCGACAACGCUUAUAAUUAUAAAAGAAUUGGUAAAAUAACUUAUGUGAUUCAUCAUAACCAGACUAUAAUACCAUAUCAUUCAGGGUUAUACCCAAGGAUAAAAUUUGUGCUAGGAGCUUAUCCAAAAUUGAUAAAAGACAUGUUUGAAUACGGUUUUUGAAUACAGUUUUCUUAACCUUGUUUAUGUCCGUGAUGAUUGUAGGAAAAUAAAAGAGCUCCUAGAAAAAAAAUACAGAGGUUGUUAAUGACCACAAAAGGAUAUCCAAAACAAAAGAACUGAUUUUUAUCAAGAUAAUCACUGCUUGCCCUUAAUACGGUGAAAACAAGUGGUAGCACAGCACAUGAUUUAAGUUAGAAUUAGCAGCAAAAAGUUAGUCCAACUAUUGAUAUAGAUCAAGUCUAUAAUGAUUAUGAUCCUGAAUUAUUCGAACCCAAAGCUCUCACCAGCAAAAGAGCCAUAGGAAUGAAAGUCCUCUAUGAAUCUCUUGAGAGGAUAAGUGAGGAAAAAAUAUGGCUCCACGAAGCCACGAAGGAGCAUAUAAUCUUUUCUAUAAGUAGAAAAGAAAGCAUUUUAGCCAGACAGGCCAUAUCAAAAAAGAAAAAGGCAAUAUAUGAAAAUCUCGUGGAAUCCAGCUUACUGACACACCACGAGGUAUGCAAGGUGCUAAAACAUCAGUCAUCAUGUGGCUACUGCUACGAAGGAUAAAAAAAGGAUUCUAGUGGGGAAGACAUGUCACUAGAGGAAGAUUUAAUACUUGGCAUGUGACAGGAACCAUUGGAAAAGAUAAAAGGUGCUAUCCUAAAAGCAUUAAUAAUUCAAAAAGAAAGAUUCCAAAAAGAUAAAGCGCACUACAACCAGAUAAAGGCUGUCUACCACCAGGAAAAAAAGACAACCACUGUCUUUAAUGAUAAAAAGAAGAAGGGUCACCUUAUCAGGAAAGAAUCCACAAUCCACCAAGAGAAUUAAACAAGUGUCAUGUAAAAGAGAUAACCUUAUCUAUUUAAGAUUAUAAAUAGAAGCAUGUAAGAAGGGAAGGACAUCACAUGCCUAACCUUCACCUACACCUGUAUUCUCUGUAACCAUCCUCUGUAAAUAAUUUCAAUGAUGAAAUAAAUAAAACUCUUUUGAGCGAAAUUGUCAUCUUCCAGAUAUCUUAUAUACUCUUAGAAAAUAACCAAGAACCUUACAUGCCAAUACUUGUGCUAAAGGAAGAAGAUUUUCUACUACUAAGCACUCUUCCAGAGACAGCUGUAAGCAAAUCACUUAGACAUAUUCUUUUAGGCCCGUUUGCUAUAUGUUGCGUUGGGCCUGUGUAACAGUCGCUGAAGUGAUCUUAUAUGAUGUGUGGAGCUAUGGCGGAGUUGACCAUAGACCUCUCUAUGGUUGAGGGCAAUUAGUGAAUCUAUCUUAGAAUUCCGAGAGAUGUACACUGGUUAGUAAUCUUGAACUCUAUUCUUUUAUUUUAGCAACAAAUGGAAGCAUGUUGGGCCUUGUUUGUAUUCUGAAAUGUUAUAAGAUAGGAAGUGAUAAAAGUAACUCAAUUUCAUAAAAAUGGAAAGAUCUGUUAAUAAAUUUCUAGACGCAAUUGAUCAUCUAGACUUUAGUCAAGAAUAUCAAGUUGCUUAUACAAUUUCCAUAGUUAAAACUAGAUUAAUUACAAGCAAACACUUGUAUGAAGAAAUGAAAAGCAAAAAUAUUCGAUUCAUUUGAAGAAGGAAACAUGAUAGCAUUAAUAGAAUCAAUUCUAUCUAGCCUUGAAAUAAUCCAAGACAAGUGCAACUAGUAAUAGAACCCAAAAUCGAGUAUAAAACAAUGGAUAAUAAUAAUAAUAACAAUAAUAAUAAUAAUAAUAAUAAUAAUAAUAAUAAUAAUAAUAAUAAUAUGGUGAUGUUGAUUCAAGAUGCAGAUCUCAAAUUACAAUUUAUUUGUGAAAGCCUAGAUAAGAUGUACCUAAGCUGGAAAUAUAGCUUAGGAAUAUACAUAGGAAUGUUAGAAGAAAAAAUUUGGUCUAUGUCUCAAAGGAGACAAAUGAUUAUAAAUACAAGAAUUAAUUUAACUAUAGAUCUCUAUGAACGAGAUAAUCAUUUAGAACUUUACAAAGACAUAGUUAAAACUUUACAAAGAUAAGAAAUUUAGGGAUAGAUGCAGAAAAGAUGAAUGGAGAAAUGCUCCAAUUUAUCAAAAUCAAUAAAACCCAUAAAUUCUAAAAUAUCAUAAAAAUUUGAAAAAAUUAGCAAAAAGGUCCUUGUUGUACUAAGUUUCAUACUCAUUGUUGUAAGCAUAUCAUUGCUGUUGUCAAUUUUAUUUCAUUUUUGGUUUCUUUGUUAAAUUAAAGAAAAAGUGUAAUAAAUCUUGAGUUAAUAAUGAAUUGUUGCAGGCUUAUGUAGUAACUGUAGAAUGUUUUGUUAUUCUUGUAGUAUUUGUCUCUUUCCAAUAGUCUGCUCUUUAUCUUGAACUGGUUCACACGCAAAACGAGUUUCUUUUGUUUAGAUUCUUUUGUUUAUUCCAAGAUGUUGAUGAUUUGGAUCCUCUUCUAAUUUAAUUUUUCCUAUUCUUUACAGGAGAUUUUGACACAUAGUAACUAAAUGAUUCUAUAGAGAGGAUUAAAUUUAUUCCUAACUAUCCUUAUUAAAACACAAAAACUCACCGGUUUUGGCUAUCUAAAAGCUAUCAAAUAAACUGCCGUUAAUUCUUUUUUCCAUUUUCUUUAAUAAUUCUUUUUUUUUUCUUUUCUUGAAAAGUUGUUGCUGUUUUGCUUCUGCUCUAAAAGAUUCUAGUAUACGCUGAACAUUAUCCAAAAAAUAAAAUAAAAUUGGGCAAGAUUAGCGAGUUUUUAAUAUUAUUAUUCUAUUGUUUUCUUAUCAUUUUCUUCAGUUUUCACUUUUUGUUUUAUUGUUCUCGGUCAGAAUAAUUACAAGGAUUGCAAUAUGCCUGGUUACUUGCCAUGGACUCUUCAUCUCAACAAACAAGUUUCCGAGAGUUGCUUCAACAAAAUAUUGUCGGAAUUCUGCAUACAUUUCAAGAAUCUCAAGCAUCAAACAACAACAUUUCAAUAUUUGUGAUAAUUCUUUUUUAUUUUACGGUUAAUGUACUAAUAAGAGGUUUUUAUCGUUUGAUUUGUAAGUGCUCAAUGUUUGGACUAGAGUUUUUUUUUUGUGGUUAAAAUGUUAAUCUUAAGAAAGAAAAUCUUAUUUUUUGAGAUAUUUUCAAGGCUUGGCAGCCUUUCUUAAAGAGUUUAGAGGAAAACCAAAAAAGCAAAGAAAAAUAAGGACUGAAGAAAAGAAAAAGAAAAAGGUCAAAAAGAGAAAAAAGAAUGAUUAAAGAAAUGGAAAAAAAAAUUAAUGGCGGUUUGCUUGUUAGCUAGUUUUAAAAUUUUAAUUAGUCCAAAACGAUAAAUUUUUGUGUUUAUUAAGGAAAGAUAAGAACAAAUUUAAUCUUAUAAACAUUAAUGAAAAAUUGAUUUUUGAAAUAUACUACCUACUUGUUAUUACUUUUAACUAUUUUUAUUGGCAAAUUACUUUUAAUUUUUGCCUUGGUGACUCUAUAAUUAUUUUUAUAAUAACUUCAUUUAGUGCACGCAGUCGCGUGCCCAUUAGGGGCUGUAGACCCCAUAUCACAAGCCCCUCAGAAGCCUCACACACGCACCCUAAUAAAAGCCCCACAGACGCACUCACCUGACCAUGUUGGCUUUAUAAUUAUUCUCAGAUCAAGUACAUGGCCUACUUCAUUUGAUCACUGACACAGCAAACAUAAAAUGGUCUUACAAAUUCCAUUGACAACCAGAAGAAAGUAAGGCCAACAACCAUAAUUUUUACAUAUAAAAACCAAAGAUUGCAACAAGCCCAUUAUUUAUUUACCCAGAGUCCAAGAUCCUGCAAGCUGCAGCUGGAAACAGAGAAGGGUUACACAAACUGAUUGAGGUACUCAUCAACUGUAGUGUACUUGACAUCAGGAUAAAGCUGCGAGGCUUCAACUCCAAACGAUGGUUCAAUCUUGAAGUCCGUUUGAACUCCCUCCACGAAAGCAGAGUGAUAAAUUGAUAACAACCUCCCGAUAGUGUACUUGACAUCAGGAUAAAGCUGCGAGGCUUCAACUCCAAACGAUGGUUCAAUCUUGAAGUCCGUUUGAACUCCCUCCACGAAAGCAGAGUGAUAAAUUGAUAACAACCUCCCGAGUGGAG
rnacentral:lncRNA from 1 species